AAACAAGCUAAGAAUAUAAUAUUCAUGAGCUAACCAAGGUUCUUAUGCCACUUUGAGCUUAUUAUGGCAUUUUGGAGCUAAAUGGGCUAAUUAUGUCUUCUUCUCUUUUUCUUCUUCUUCUCUUCUUCUUCUCUUCUUAUCUUCUUCUUUUCUUCUUCUCCUUAUUAUUGUCUUCUCUUCUUCUUCUUCUUCUUCCUCUUCUUCUUCUUCUUCUUCUUCUUCUUCUUCUUCUUCUUCUUCUUCUUCUUCUCCUCC
rnacentral:lncRNA from 1 species